rnacentral:rRNA from 1 species
CAGUAGCCACGGUAAUACGAAGGGGGCUAGCGUUGCUCGGAAUUACUGGGCGUAAAGGGAGCGUAGGCGGAUCGUUUAGUCAGGGGUGAAAUCCCGGGGCUCAACCUCGGAACUGCCUUUGAUACUGGCGAUCUUGAGUAUGGGAGAGGUGUGUGGAACUCCGAGUGUAGAGGUGAAAUACGUAGAUAUUCGGAAGAACACCAGUGGCGAAGGCGACACACUGGCCCAUUACUGACGCUGAGGCUCGAAAGCGUGGGGAGCAAACAGGAUUAGAUACCCGCGUAGUCCCUGUCUCUUAUAC